rnacentral:rRNA from 1 species
AACGUAAGGGGCGAGCGUUGUCCGGAAUUACUGGGCGUACAGAGCACGUAGGCGGUCGGGUAAGCGAUAGGUGAAAGCCUCCGGCUCAACCGGAGAAGUGCUUAUCGAACUACUCAACUAGAGCACGGGAGAGGGCACCGGAAUUCCUGGUGUAGCGGUGGAAUGCGUAUAUAUCAGGAGGAACACCGGUGGCGAAGGCUGGUGCCUGGAACGUUGCUGACGCUAAGGUGCGAAAGCCAGGGGAGCGAACGGGAUUAGAUACCCGAGUA